rnacentral:rRNA from 1 species
UGAAGUCAGAGCGUAAGCGUUGGUGGACUUUAUACGAGUGAGAAUGCCGGAAUGAGUAGCGAGAAAUAUGUGAGAAUCAUAUUGGCCGAAAGUCUAAGGUUUUUGGAGGAAGGUUCGUCCGCUCCAAGUAAGCCGGGAGCUAAGGUGAGGCCGAAAGGCGUAGCCGAUGCACAUACGGUAGAUAUUCCGUAGCCGCCAAAAGAUUUAAGUAAGAGGACACCUUGAAAGGACUUGACCCGGGCGAUGGUUGCCCCGGGCGAAAGGGACCGAAAUUUAGUAGGGAAGCAAGUUUGGACGAGGGCGAGAAAAGUCUUAUGUAUAUCUUCGGCGCCCGUACCGCAAACCGACACAGGUAGAUAGGAAGAGAAUUCUAAGGCCAACGGGAGAAGGGUAGUUAAGGAACUCGGCAAAUUGACCCCGUAACUUAGGAAUAAGGGGUGCCACAGCGAUGUGGUCGCAGAGAAUAGGCCCAGGCAACUGUUUAUCAAAAACACAGGUCUCUGCCAAAUCGAAAGAUGAAGUAUAGGGGCUGACACCUGCCCGGUGCUGGAAGGUUAAGAGGAGAUGUGCAAGCAUUGAAUUGAAGCCCCAGUAAACGGCGGCCGUAACAAUAACGGUCCUAAGGUAGCGAAAUUCCUUGUCGGGUAAGUUCCGACCCGCACGAAUGGUGUAAAGAUCUGGGCACCGUCUCAAUUACCCGCCCGGCGAAAUUGUAGUACCGGUGAAGAUGCCGGUUACCCGCGACAAGACGGAAAGACCCCAUGGAGCUUUACUGUAGCUUAAUAUUGGGUUUCGAUAAUUUAUGUAUAGGAUAGGCGGGAGACUAGGAAACCGUGGCGCCAGCCACGGCGGAGUCGACGUUGGAAUACCGCUCUUAAGUUAUUGGAAUUCUAACCUGCGGCCAUGAAUCUGGCCGGGGGACAUUGUUAGGUGGGCAGUUUGACUGGGGCGGUCGCCUCCAAAAAGGUAACGGAGGCGCUCAAAGGUUGGCUCAGCAUGGUUGGAAACCAUGCCUUAGAGUGUAAACGCGUAAGCCAGCCUAACUGCGAGGAUGACGGUCCGAGCAGUAACGAAAGUUGGAGUUAGUGAUCCGGCGGUAUGAGAGUGGAAUUGCCGUCGCUCAACGGAUAAAAGCUACCCUGGGGAUAACAGGCUGAUCUCCCCCAAGAGUCCACAUCGACGGGGAGGUUUGGCACCUCGAUGUCGGCUCAUCACAUCCUGGGGCUGUAUUCGGUCCCAAGGGUUCGGCUGUUCGCCGAUUAAAGUGGUACGCGAGCUGGGUUCAGAACGUCGUGAGACAGUUCGGUCCCUAUCUGUCGUGGGCGCGGGAUAUUUGAGGAGAGCUGUCCUUAGUACGAGAGGACCGGGAUGGACGCACCUCUGGCGCACCAGUUGUCACGCCAGUGGCACAGCUGGGCAACUAUGUGCGGAACGGAUAAACGCUGAAAGCAUCUAAGCGUGAAGCCGACUCCAAGAUUAGAUAUCCCAUAGCGUAAGCUAGUAAGACCCCUUGUAGACUACAAGGUUGAUAGGCUGCAUGUGUAAGCACGGUAACGUGUUCAGCUUGGCAGUACUAAUAGGUCGAGGGCUUGAUC